rnacentral:rRNA from 1 species
GAUGAACGCUGGCGGCGUGCCUAAUACAUGCAAGUCGAGCGAACAGACGAGGAGCUUGCUCCUCUGACGUUAGCGUCGGACGGGUGAGUAACACGUGGAUAACCUACCUAUAAGACUGGGAUAACUUCGUGAAACCGGAGCAAAUACCGGAUAAUAUUUUGAACCGCAUGGUUCAAUAGUUAAAGACGUUUUUGCUUUCACUUAUAGAUGGAUCCGCGCCGCAUUAGCUAGUUGGUAAGGUAACGGCUUACCAAGGCGACGAUGCGUAGCCGACCUGAGAGGGUGAUCGGCCACACUGGAACUGAGACACGGUCCAGACUCCUACGGGAGGCAGCAGUAGGGAAUCUUCCGCAAUGGGCGAAAGCCUGACGGAGCAACGCCGCGUGAAUGAUGAAGGUCUUCGGAUCGUAAAACUCUGUUAUUAGGGAAGAACAAAUGUGUAAGUAACUAUGCACGUAUUGACGGUACCUGAUCAGAAAGCCACGGCUAACUACGUG